rnacentral:rRNA from 1 species
UACGUAGGGUGCGAGCGUUAAUCGGGAUUACUGGGCGUAAAGCGUGCGCAGGCGGUUUUGUAAGACAGAGGUGAAAUCCCCGGGCUUAACCUGGGAACUGCCUUUGUGACUGCAAGGCUUGAGUGCGGCAGAGGGGGAUGGAAUUCCGCGUGUAGCAGUGAAAUGCGUAGAUAUGCGGAGGAACACCGAUGGCGAAGGCAGCACUCUGGGACGUGACUGACGCUGAGACGCGAAAGCGUGGGGAGCGAACAGG